rnacentral:rRNA from 1 species
UACAGAGGUCUCAACCGUUGUUCGGAUUCAUUGGGCGUAAAGGGUGCGUAGGCGGUCGUGCAAGUCGGAUGCGAAAUCUCAGGGCUCAACCCUGAAACUGCAUUCGAUACUGCGCGGCUAGAGUGCUGGAGGGGAGACUGGAAUUUACGGUGUAGCAGUGAAAUGCGUAGAUAUCUGGAGGAACACCGGUGGCGAAGGCGGCAUCCUGGACCAACACUGACGCUGAGGAGCGAAAGCCAGGGGAGCAAACGGG